UUGUCAUUGCUAAAAUCUUGCUGCAAAAUCUUGUAUGUUUGUUUUCUCAAGGUAAGGGUCCCAAUUGGUAGGCUCGUUUUGGAAUUGCCUACUGGAAUGUUGGAUGAUGACGAGGGUGAUAUUGUUGGGACUGCAGUUCGUGAUGAGUUUUUUUUUCUGUGAUGAGUUUUCUUUUUCUACAAAAUAACUUAUAUUUCAAUAAAUUUGAUUGAGUAUUACUGAUUUUUUUCCGAUUUUCUUUCUUGCUAGGUACUUGGGGCAUUGAAUUAGCUGCGCAGUUGUAGCUUCUGUACUAUUGGGGGCUAUUGUUUCUCAUCAUUUUUCAGUUUCAAACCCAUUAGCUGCAAAAAGAGAUGCCUUACAGAGCACUGCUAUUUUGGGCUUUGGAUGUGAAACCAACAGAAAUUCUCUUGAAGCCAUGGUGAAGAGCACAGGAAAAGAAUCAUUACAAUGGGAUAAAUG